UUCGAUCAUGGCUCAGAUUGAACGCUGGCGGGAUGCUUUACACAUGCAAGUCGAACGGCAGCACGGACUUCGGUCUGGUGGCGAGUGGCGAACGGGAGAGUAAUGUAUCGGAACGUGCCUAGUAGCGGGGAUAACUACGCGAGGUAGCCAAUACCGCAUACGCCCUUCGGGGAAAGCGGGGGGACCUUUCUGGCCCACUAUUAGAGCGGCCGAUAUCGGAUUAGCUAGUUGGUGGGGUAACGGCUCACUAAGGCGACGAUCCGUAGCUGGUUUGAGAGGACGACCAGCCACACUGGACUGAGACACGGGCCCAGACUCCUACGGGAGGCAGCAGUGGGGAAUUUUGGACAAUGGGGAAACUCCUGAUCCAGCCAUCUCCGCGUGUGCGAUGAAGGCCUUCGCCAAAGCACUUUUGGCAGGAAAGAAACGGCACGUGGAUAAUACCCGUGCAACUGACGGUACCUUGUGAGAAUAAGCACCGGCUAACUACGUGCCAGCAGCCGCGGUAAUGUAGGCAAGCGUUAAUCGGAAUUACUGGGCGCAAGCGUGCGCAGGCGGGUUCGGAAAGAAAGAUGUGAAAUCCCAGAGCUUAACUUUGGAACUGCAUUUUAACUACCGAGCUAGAGUGUGUCAGAGAGGUGGAAUUUAUGUGUAGCAGUGAAAUGCGUAGAUAUGCGGGAGGAACACCGAUGGCGAAGGCAGCCUCCUGGGAUAACACUGACGCUCAUGCACGAAAGCGGGGAGCAAACAGGAUUAGAUACCCUGGUAGUCCACGCCCUAAACGAUGUCAACUAGCUGUUGGGGCCUUCGCCUUGUAGCGCAGCUAACGCGUGAAGUUGACCGCCUGGGGAGUACGGUCGCAAGAUUAAAACUCAAAGGAAUUGAUUUGGACCCGCACAAGCGGUGGAUGAUGUGGAUUAAUUGAUGCAACGCGAAAACCUUACCUACCCUUGACAUGUCUGAAUCCCGAAGAGAUUUUGGGAGUGCUCGCAAGAGAACCGGAACACAGGUGCUGCAUGGUCGUCGUCGUCAGCUCGUGUCGAGAUGUUGGGUUAAGUCCCGCAACGAGCGGCAACCCUUGUCAUUAGUUGCUACGAAAGGGCACUAAUGAGACUGCCGGUGACAAACCGGAGGAAGGUGGGGAUGACGUCAAGUCCUCGCGGUCUUUGCGGUAGGGCUUCACACGUCAUACAAUGGUCGGGACAGAGGGUCGCCAACCCGCGAGGGGGAGCCAAUCCCAGAAACCCGAUCGUAGUCCGGAUCGCAGUCUGCAACUCGACUGCGUGAAGUCGGAAUCGCUAGUAAUCGCGGAUCAGCAUGUCGCGGUGAAUACGUUCCCGGGUCUUGUACACACCGCCCGUCAUGACUACGGAGUGGGUUUUACCAGAAGUAGUUAGCCUAACUGCAAGGAGGUGGGCGAUUACCACGGUAGGAUUCAUGACUGGGGUGAAGUCGUAACAAGGUAG
rnacentral:rRNA from 1 species